GAUUGUGGGUACCAAAAUGGAAUCCAGUGUCACUGAAGAGGCUCAAAAGGGAAAAAGAACUUGAUCUCCAAGCUGGAGAAGGAAACGGCCCAACUCUCUGCUGAGUGACCUGGUCUUUCCUGGACCUGGGCUCCAAAGUCAGGAGGCAAAGGGGCCAUGUUGUGCCACCUCAGCUGCUGAUCCCAAGACCAAGGAGCUGCCAGACCCGUGUCAGCUUUUCACUGUUGCCGUCAGUGUGAUUUGCCACUGUGUGACUCUUGGAAAGGAAAAGCCAACGAUUGUAAUGAGUUGAGUAAGAAGAAGGCCCAACCUUCAGUAAAACCGCAGGCCUCUGGGAGUCAGCUUUGGCAUUCUCCUGCAAACACAGGUUUAGCGAGCACAACGCCUCCAUCACAGCCAGAGAGAACACAAACUCUCUAGGGUGUUCUUCCCCCGCCCCCCAGUAGUGGAGGGCUCAGGAGGGCCAGAUGGUGACGUCACAGCGUCCAGCUUGCAAAGCUAGACCAGGGGGCCUCCUGGGGUUUUGGGGACAUUUCAAGUUGGUGACCUCUGAUUAGAAGAGAUGACAAUGUUUGUGUCUGUCAGCCCCAAUGCCAGGAUCCGGAACAGGACAAGUGGGCAGGGGUAACCUUGGGGCCCACCUGCCUCAUGCUUCCUGGUUUCACCAGGGGGAAGCCAUGGAAAUACCCUAUCCCAGGAACUGCCUGUUUGCUUCUCAGAAUCCGAAGGCUUCGGUGGCUGUGAAUGGCUGCACGCCCACCCUAGCCAUUCUCAGGCGAAGGUCUCUGCCCAGUGAUGGAAACUCUAAGCGGCAUAGGUAGGUAGAUGCCUUUCCUUCUGUCUGCCUAGACACUGUGUAGGGACAAGGACUCCAUGAGCUAAGAGGAAGCACCCUGGAAUAAACAACAGAGGUGCCGAGGCUUCACCACUUCUUAGAGACUCUUACAAUAUUAUUCGUGAUGCUGCAAGUCCGAAAAAGCAGCGGCAGGUUUUUUGUUUUUGUUUUUGUUUUUGUUUUUGUUUUACAUACUAGUCCUACACACUUUAAGUGUGCUUUUCUGAACAACUAAUAAGCCAUUUAGGGGAGAUAACUUAAUCUGUCAACUGUCUGCUGUCUAAAUAAGGACCUGUGCUUGAUUCCUAGAACUCACAGAAAAGCCAGGUAUGGCAGCACGCGUUUGUAAUCCCAGUGCUGAGGAUACAGAGGUGGUAGAUUCCUGGCCAGCCAGCCAGCUCUCUUGGUAGGUGGCAGGCCAGUGAGAGACCCUGUCUCAAGAGAAAAGGUGGACCCAGCUGGAGGACAAUACAACACCUAAAAUUGUCCUCUAGCCUGUACACACAGUCACAGUCACCAACAUACACUUAGAACACACACACACAAACACUCACGCACACAGGCAUGCAUGGAAACCAAUAGAUACCAAAGGCGGUGGUGGCACACACCUCUGAUCCUAGCACUUGGGAGGCAGAGGCAGGUGGAUCAUCUCUGAGUUCGAGGCCAGCUUGGUCUACAGAGCAAGUUCCUGGACAGCCAAGGCUGUUACACAAGGAACCCCUGUCUUGAAAAACCUAAAAAAUGAAAUGAAAUAAAAUAAAAAUCUUAACAUUAAAAAAGCCAGGCACUGGUGGUUCUUGGUUGUCAACUUGACUACAUCUGGAAUGAACUAAGACCCAAGGUGACUGGGUACAAUUAUGUGGGAUUUUUAAUUUAAUCUUGAUUGUCUCUUCCACAAAACAUCAUUGACUCACUAAAUGAGCAGGAGGCUGCAACCACUUUGAACUUGUUGGUAACAUAUAUGUGCAUCAGUGAAAUUCUUAUGAGUCCAGUGAUGUGGGCAUGCAGAUAUUCCUUCUAAGAUGGAUAAGUUAUUGCACCUGGCCCCUCCCACCACCAAGAAGAAGCACAUUUAGUGGGCCUAUUUGGAUUUUGGAGACAGCACAUUCCUCACUUGGGUGUGUUACACAAGUGACUCCAAAAGCUGUUAGCUUAGAAUGGGGCCUUAGAUGGGAGAAGGCUCUUCAGCAAUUUUGGAUUUUAGAGCAAGGUUAUAUCAUCAUCUGCAGACACCUAUUCUUCCUUUGAGAGACAGCUCUUGGUCUGCUGUUUGGCAUUACUGGAAACUGAGCUUUUGAGAAUGGACCACCAAGUUACCACACAACCUGAGCUGCCCAUCAUGGGCUGGGUGUUAUCUGACUCGCCAGGUCAUAAAGUAGGACAUGCACAGCAGCAAUCCACUAUCAAACAGAAGUGAUAUAUAAAGAUUGGACCUGAGCAGGCUCUGAUGGCACAAGUAAGUUCUAUGAAGAUGCUGUCCAAACGCCUGCGACUCCCAUUAUAACGCCGUCUGCUCCCAAGCGUGCACUCAGAUCACCAAGGGGAAAUUGGGUUGCUUCUCCACAGCGAAGGUAAGGAAGAUUGUGAUGUCUGGAGUGCCAAAAAUCCUUUAGGGUGUCUCUGUGCUCCCAUGUCCUGUGAUUAAAAUCAAUGGGAAACCGCAACUCAAUCCAGGCAGGAUGACAAAGGGCAGAGACCCAUCAGGAAUGAAGACAUGGGUCACUACUCCAGGAAAAGAGCCAAGAUCUGCUGAGGUGCUUGCUGAAAGGGCAGGAAAUACAAAAUGGGUAGUGGGAAAAGGUAGUUCUAAAUACCAGCCAGGGCCGCGUGACCAGUUGCAGAAAUGGGGAUUAUAAUGGACAUGAGUGUUUCUGUUGUAUUUUGUUAAGAGUGUAUCUGUGCAGAUAUUUGUGUUUUCUUUCCUCAAGUUCUUUACCAUGUAAUGAAGAUCAAUGAAAAGAACGUCAUUAGUUAUCCCUUUUAAGUUGGAGAUACUAAAAUAAUGUCCCUCAAAGAACAUUGCCAUCUAUUCUAAAAUUUUUAAUGCAUUAGUCAUUGUACAACGGAAGGAUGGUUACAGCACACGAGGCAUGGUUUUCAUUGGGUUAAAUAUAUGAGUUUAUGAGUGUAUGUGGGAUGUUUAUAUCAUGUUGAAUAUGAUUAUGACCUUGCUAUUGUUUUUAUUUGGAAAUUAAGGGCGACAUAAGG
ensembl:lincRNA